AGUGAACGCUGGCGGUAGGCCUAACACAUGCAAGUCGAACGGCAGCACAGUAAGAGCUUGCUCUUACGGGUGGCGAGUGGCGGACGGGUGAGGAAUACAUCGGAAUCUACUUUUUCGUGGGGGAUAACGUAGGGAAACUUACGCUAAUACCGCAUACGACCUACGGGUGAAAGCAGGGGAUCUUCGGACCUUGCGCGAUUGAAUUAGCCGAUGUCGGAUUAGCUAGUUUGCGGGGUAAAGGCCCACCAAGGCGACGAUCCGUAGCUGGUCUGAGAGGAUGAUCAGCCACACUGGAACUGAGACACGGUCCAGACUCCUACGGGAGGCAGCAGUGGGGAAUAUUGGACAAUGGGCGCAAGCCUGAUCCAGCCAUACCGCGUGGGUGAAGAAGGCCUUCGGGUUGUAAAGCCCUUUUGUUGGGAAAGAAAAGCAGCAGGUUAAUACCCCGCUGUUCUGACGGUACCCAAAGAAUAAGCACCGGCUAACUUCGUG
rnacentral:rRNA from 1 species